rnacentral:tRNA from 1 species
CAAAGGUUCAGAAAGUGAAAAAGGGAUAGGUG